UACGUAGGGUGCGAGCGUUUGUCCGGAAUUACUGGGCGUAAAGAGCUCGUAGGCGGUUUGUCGCGUCGGAUGUGAAAACCCGGGGCUUAACUCCGGGCCUGCAUUCGAUACGGGCUGACUAGAGUUCGGCAGGGGAGACUGGAAUUCCUGGUGUAGCGGUGAAAUGCGCAGAUAUCAGGAGGAACACCGGUGGCGAAGGCGGCAUCCUGGACCAUGACUGACGCUGAGGAGCGAAAGCCAGGGGAGCAAACGGG
rnacentral:rRNA from 1 species